AGUAACUGGCACUGGAUAAUACUGGAACCAAAGCCUCUGGAAUGUUAACACAGGCUCCUCCUUAGCUACUUCUACUCAAGUCAUCCUCGUCGUACAGUUUCCUUACAUCUGAGGACAUACAUGGGAAAACUAAAACCCUUGGUAGGAUGGGAGACAUAGGUAAUUUGAGAAGG
rnacentral:ribozyme from 1 species